rnacentral:lncRNA from 1 species
CUUGUCCAAACCGACCUGGGAAGCAGGUGUGGGCCCUCUGUCCCCAGAGCUUCUCAAAGAACAGUUUGUGCUGCAGGGGCUGUGGACAGACACCAGCACAACCCUGGAGCCUGCUGCAGCUGCUUCCUGUUGUCACCAGGCUCCCCGGCUGAGGGGCUGAGCCCCCUUGCACCUCCCUUGCCCCUGCCUGGCUCUCUCCACGUGGCCACCUGCCUCCGUGGGCCAGCCACGUCCUGUGGAUACAGAGGAAGAGCAAGUUCAAGGAGUGUGAGCUCAGAGGAAGGAAGCGGCCCUGGGCCCAGUUUCCCCCCAUAGGAUAUGGGUGUGGCCACCCUCUCCAUCCUGAGGUUCAUCGAGGAAGGAAACCAUCAAUGAGAAGGGGGAGCCUGUUAGAGUUCACAUGUGUUUCAUGAGGGCCACCACUCACUUCUGUACACAGCCACCCUUCCAGGACACUAAAUCCAGGACUACAUUAUGGGGAUUCAGAUGCGGGCAGGAGUCCCAGGAGGUUUGAGUUUCCCAAGAAGAUGCACAGUGAACACUUGUUGAUUGACUGACUGAUGGUAAGAAUAAAGAAGUGUGUCUCAUUGGAUUCAGUCCACGGAGUAUGUUGCCACAACCAUAAAGAGGUUAUUCACACUCUGGGCACCUAGACUUCUAGGACACACCCUCAUUUUCCUCUGGCCAGCCCUCUGCCUCCUCCAGGCUAAUGACCUCCCACAGACUCAGGAGGACUCCAGGCUUUAUUUAGGACCUCACUUCCGAUACUCUGCACUCAAAUCCAUCCAAUGCUAUUUCCUGCUGUGUUUUGCUGAUACUCUCCCUCCUUCAUCCUGAACUGACCUUAAAGUCAGCACACUGGGGCUACAGUGAGGCAGGUCAGAACCUUCAGGACACAGUGAAGGAAGGACUUGAAUUCAUCUCUAUUUCACCCAUGACAAAACUGAGGCACCAAAGGACUUAAGUAAAUUUGGAAUAAAUGAAAAAAAAAAUUGUGGAUAUUUCCAAUGGAAAACUUUGCAGUGUUUAGGACAUAUCCUUCUGUGCAAUCUGAUUAGAGCUUUUCAUUGCCUUUGAGCUUGUUUGCAACUCUAAGUUGCAGAGAAUUGAUGGCACAGCAAUGCUUCCUGUCUAUGGAUACGCAAAUAAAUGCUGUUUGUUCCAAGGACAACACUCUCCUUUUGUGGAAAAGUCAAUUUGCUUCCAUUUACAAGUUGAUUUCAACAUUCCUGUCCUAGAACUGCAUCUGUUCUUUGGAUUCUCCAUUGAAUGGUUUGUAAUAUAUCCCUGGUUCCCUUCUUAAUGAUAAGGUAAACAGAUCUUGAGUAUGUGUAUGAGGGUCAUGAUUUCAUCUUUUAAUUUUAUUUAUUGUUUUAAAAAAUUAUUUUUGCCACACCCAAAUUCCCAGGCCGCUGCAGUGACAAUGCUGAGUCCUUGACCUGCUGAACUGGGGAACUGCUAUUUUUUAAAAUUAUUUUUUACCAGGGGUAAUAGGUUAUUUGCCUGCAGUCUCACAAGGAGAGGUAGGCCUAGAAUUUGAACCCAGCAGCUAGGAUGCAGCAUGCAUGUUUAUAACCACCACCCGAUGUUCCAGGUGCUUGCAAAGCCUGAUUGCAUGAGAGUGGCUGCAGCUGUAAGUUAAUCAGUCCUAGCCUAAAUAAGACCCUUGAUCCUAACUCAAACCCUAGCCCCGAUUAAAAGCUAAUAAACUAAAUAGUACUCUAAGGAAAGGAUAUAUGGUACCAUAGCAUUCGGGAGAGACAGCUUUAGGUGGUACAAGCAAGACACUCCAGCUGAGGGGCACUGGGUGGUGUUCUUUAUCUUUCCCAGGACCUCUGUGGCCUCACCGCACUUAGCCUCAACUAGAUACCUAGACUCUUGUGUUUCUUGCUGAGGGCUUCUGCGUGGUCCUUGGUGCUGUGCAGGCCUUUGCUAAAGGCCUGGAUGUGGGAAGGGCUUUGGGAGCUGGUUUUCACUCCCCACAUCACCUGGAGUCAGAGGGAGUUGGAAGGUAUCCAUGGCCUGUGUGCCCUAGAUCCAGUGGCCUGGCCUCCUGCUUUAUUUGUGCUUCUGCACUCAGGGCUGAAAGCCACCAACCUUGUCACAAUGUAGGAUUUGGGGUGUUUGACAACAUUAGAAUGCAUCUGUGUUUUAUUAAUGUGGAUUCUCCAUUUCGUCAUUCACUGAGCUACCUUUAUUUCUGACUGGUUACAAACAAUCCCAUCUUUUUUCUCAUUGGGGAAUUUUCAGGUACAUAUUUUUAUAAAUUGGUCCACUUUGUUACUGCUUUCAGUCAUUGCUUUUAAUUUUUAAAUAAAAAAAUUUAAUUUUGCC